rnacentral:lncRNA from 1 species
UGAAACCUUGACUGGAAAUAAUUAUGUGAGAUGGAAACGAGGCAUAGAAAUAGCACUGGGUUUUCUUGAGUUUAGAUUUUGCUUUAAAGGAGCAGUACUGAGCUACGACCUCUCUAAUGCACUAGUAAUUUCAGCACCUCUUCACUAAUCUGCAGAUCCUCUCAAGUCAUGAGCUAGGCUUCGGUUUCAAUUUUGAUAGUCAAGUAAUGGUUUAAGUUUUAUGUAGGCAAACAGAUAGAUCCCAAGCUCAUCUACUA